UGGGCGUAAAGCGCAUGCAGGUGGUUUGUUAAGUUCAGAUGUGAAAGACCCGGGGCGUCAACCUCGGAAUUGCAUUUGAAACUAGGCAAACUAGAGUACUGUAGAGGGGGGUAGGAAUUUCUAGGUGUAACGGUGAAAAUGCGUAGAGAUCUGAAGGAAUACCGGUGGCGAAGGCGGCCCCCUCGGACAGAUACUGACACUCAGAUGCGAAAGCGUGGGGAGCAAACAGGAUUAGAUACCCUGGUAG
rnacentral:rRNA from 1 species